UACGUAGGGAGCAAGCGUUGUUCGGAUUUACUGGGCGUAAAGGGCGCGUAGGCGGCGUGUCAAGUCGAUUGUGAAAUCUCCGGGCUUAACUCGGAACGGCCAAUCGAUACUGACGUGCUAGAGUGCAGAAAGGGCAAUCGGAAUUCUUGGUGUAGCGGUGAAAUGCGUAGAUAUCAGGAGGAACACCGGUGGCGAAGGCGGCUAUCUGGACAGAGUCUGGACGCUGAAGGCGCGAAAGCUAGGGGAGCAAACAGG
rnacentral:rRNA from 1 species